AUUGAACGCUGGCGGCAGGCCUAACACAUGCAAGUCGAACGAGUGGCGGACGGGUGAGUAAUGUCUAGGGAACUGCCCGAUGGAGGGGGGUAACUACUGGAAACGGUAGCUAAUACCGCAUACUAUCGGAUGUGCCCAGAUGGGAUUAGCUAGUUGGUGGGGUAACGGCUCACCUGGGCGCCGUGCCCUAGCUGGUCUGAGAGGAUGACCAGCCACACUGGAACUGAGACACGGUCCAGACUCCUACGGGAGGCAGCAGUGGGGAAUAUUGCAAAAUGGGCGCAAGCCUGAUGCAGCCAUGCCGCGUGUAUGAAGAAGGCCUUCGGGUUGUAAAGUACUUUCAGCGAGGAGGCGUUACUCGCAGAAGAAGCACCGGCUAACUCCGUGCCAGCAGCCGCGGUAAUUC
rnacentral:rRNA from 1 species